GAUUAAGUUAUUAAGGGCGCACGGUGGAUGCCUUGGCACUAGAAGCCGAAGAAGGACGUUACUAACGACGAUAUGCUUUGGGUAGCUGUAAGUAAGCGUUGAUCCAGAGAUUUCCGAAUGGGGGAACCCAACAUGAGUUAUGUCAUGUUAUCGACAUGUGAAUUCAUAGCAUGUCAGAAGGCAGACCCGGAGAACUGAAACAUCUUAGUACCCGGAGGAAGAGAAAGAAAAAUCGAUUCCCUGAGUAGCGGCGAGCGAAACGGGAAGAGCCCAAACCAACAAGCUUGCUUGUUGGGGUUGUAGGACACUCUAUACGGAGUUACAAAAGAACAUGUUAGACGAAUCAUCUGGAAAGAUGAAUCAAAGAAGGUAAUAAUCCUGUAGUCGAAAACAUAUUCUCUCUUGAGUGGAUCCUGAGUACGACGGAGCACGUGAAAUUCCGUCGGAAUCUAGGAGGACCAUCUCCUAAGGCUAAAUACUCUCUAGUGACCGAUAGUGAACCAGUACCGUGAGGGAAAGGUGAAAAGUACCCCGGAAGGGGAGUGAAAGAGAACUUGAAACCGUGUGCUUACAAGUAGUCAGAGCCCGUUUAUGGGUGAUGGCGUGCCUUUUGUAGAAUGAACCGGCGAGUUACGAUCUGAUGCAAGGUUAAGCAGUGAAUGUGGAGCCGUAGCGAAAGCGAGUCUGAAUAGGGCGUUGAGUAUUUGGUCGUAGACCCGAAACCAGGUGAUCUACCCUUGGUCAGGUUGAAGUUCAGGUAACACUGAAUGGAGGACCGAACCGACUUACGUUGAAAAGUGAGCGGAUGAACUGAGGGUAGCGGAGAAAUUCCAAUCGAACUUGGAGAUAGCUGGUUCUCUCCGAAAUAGCUUUAGGGCUAGCCUCAAGUGAUGAUUAUUGGAGGUAGAGCACUGUUUGGACGAGGGGCCCCUCUCGGGUUACCGAAUUCAGACAAACUCCGAAUGCCAAUCAAUUUAACUUGGGAGUCAGAACAUGGGUGAUAAGGUCCGUGUUCGAAAGGGAAACAGCCCAGACCACCAGCUAAGGUCCCAAAAUAUAUGUUAAGUGGAAAAGGAUGUGGCGUUGCCCAGACAACUAGGAUGUUGGCUUAGAAGCAGCCAUCAUUUAAAGAGUGCGUAAUAGCUCACUAGUCGAGUGACACUGCGCCGAAAAUGUACCGGGGCUAAACAUAUUACCGAAGCUGUGGAUUGUCCUUCGGACAAUGGUAGGAGAGCGUUCUAAGGGCGUUGAAGCAUGAUCGCAAGGACAUGUGGAGCGCUUAGAAGUGAGAAUGCCGGUGUGAGUAGCGAAAGACGGGUGAGAAUCCCGUCCACCGAUUGACUAAGGUUUCCAGAGGAAGGCUCGUCCGCUCUGGGUUAGUCGGGUCCUAAGCUGAGGCCGACAGGCGUAGGCGAUGGAUAACAGGUUGAUAUUCCUGUACCACCUAGUAUCGUUUUAAUCGAUGGGGGGACGCAGUAGGAUAGGCGAAGCGUGCUGUUGGAGUGCACGUCCAAGCAGUAAGGCUGAGUGUUAGGCAAAUCCGGCACUCGUUAGGCUGAGCUGUGAUGGGGAGAGGAAAUUGUUUCCUCGAGUCGUUGAUUUCACACUGCCGAGAAAAGCCUCUAGAUAGAUAACAGGUGCCCGUACCGCAAACCGACACAGGUAGUCAAGAUGAGAAUUCUAAGGUGAGCGAGCGAACUCUCGUUAAGGAACUCGGCAAAAUGACCCCGUAACUUCGGGAGAAGGGGUGCUCUUUAGGGUUCACGCCCAGAAGAGCCGCAGUGAAUAGGCCCAAGCGACUGUUUAUCAAAAACACAGGUCUCUGCUAAACCGUAAGGUGAUGUAUAGGGGCUGACGCCUGCCCGGUGCUGGAAGGUUAAGAGGAGUGGUUAGCUUCUGCGAAGCCACGAAUCGAAGCCCCAGUAAACGGCGGCCGUAACUAUAACGGUCCUAAGGUAGCGAAAUUCCUUGUCGGGUAAGUUCCGACCCGCACGAAAGGCGUAACGAUUUGGGCACUGUCUCAACGAGAGACUCGGUGAAAUCAUAGUACCUGUGAAGAUGCAGGUUACCCGCGACAGGACGGAAAGACCCCGUGGAGCUUUACUGUAGCCUGAUAUUGAAAUUCGGCACAGCUUGUACAGGAUAGGUAGGAGCCAUUGAAACGUGAGCGCUAGCUUACGUGGAGGCGUUGGUGGGAUACUACCCUAGCUGUGUUGGCUUUCUAACCCGCACCACUUAUCGUGGUGGGAGACAGUGUCAGGCGGGCAGUUUGACUGGGGCGGUCGCCUCCUAAAAGGUAACGGAGGCGCUCAAAGGUUCCCUCAGAAUGGUUGGAAAUCAUUCACAGAGUGUAAAGGCAUAAGGGAGCUUGACUGCGAGACCUACAAGUCGAGCAGGGUCGAAAGACGGACUUAGUGAUCCGGUGGUUCCGCAUGGAAGGGCCAUCGCUCAACGGAUAAAAGCUACCCCGGGGAUAACAGGCUUAUCUCCCCCAAGAGUUCACAUCGACGGGGAGGUUUGGCACCUCGAUGUCGGCUCAUCGCAUCCUGGGGCUGUAGUCGGUCCCAAGGGUUGGGCUGUUCGCCCAUUAAAGCGGUACGCGAGCUGGGUUCAGAACGUCGUGAGACAGUUCGGUCCCUAUCCGUCGUGGGCGUAGGAAAUUUGAGAGGAGCUGUCCUUAGUACGAGAGGACCGGGAUGGACAUACCUCUGGUGUACCAGUUGUCGUGCCAACGGCAUAGCUGGGUAGCUAUGUAUGGACGGGAUAAGUGCUGAAAGCAUCUAAGCAUGAAGCCCCCCUCAAGAUGAGAUUUCCCAACUUCGGUUAUAAGAUCCCUCGAAGAUGACGAGGUUAAUAGGUUCGAGGUGGAAGCGUGGUGACACGUGGAGCUGACGAAUACUAAUCGAUCGAAGACUUAAUCAA
rnacentral:rRNA from 1 species